CUUAACCAAAACCAAAAAGAGGUAUAUUAUUGUUAAUAAUAGAAUUGAAAAGUUUUUUCUGGUUAAGG
rnacentral:tRNA from 1 species